rnacentral:lncRNA from 1 species
UUUUUGGCUCUUUUUAGGUUAAAAUGCAUAAAAAUAAAUAAAAUAAUAAUUAAAAAAUGUUUAAUAACAAAAAAAGAAAAUUAAAAAUACAAAAAUAUAAUUUUUUUAAUUUUAAAUAUAAUGCAAAUAAAGAUAUAACAAAAAAGAGAAAAUACUCUAAAAUUUGGGAAAGGUGGGAUCAUAAUUAUAAUGAUAAUAAAAAUGAUAUUUCUCCUAAUAACUAUCUAUUUAGUAAUGAUAAUAAAAUUAAUAAUUAACACCAUUU